rnacentral:rRNA from 1 species
UACAGCACCCCGAGUGGUCGGGACGAUUAUUGGGCCUAAAGCAUCCGUAGCCGGCCUUACAAGUCCUCCGUUAAAUCCAGCUGCUUAACAGAUGGGCUGCGGAGGAUACUAUAAGACUAGGAGGCAGGAGAGGCAAGCGGUACUCAGUGGGUAGGGGUAAAAUCCGUUGAUCCAUUGAAGACCACCAGUGGCGAAGGCGGCUUGCCAGAACGCGCUCGACGGUGAGGGAUGAAAGCUGGGGGAGCAAACCGG